UACCCGCCUGCUAACCUGCUUCCUUUCCUUCUUCCUGUCCAUUUUGUUUGUUUAGUUAUUGUUUUCCCAGAACAGGAUUUCUGUGUGUAGCCCUGGCUGUCCAGAACUCACUCUGUAGAUCAGGCUGGCCUCAGACUCACAGAGAUCUGCCUGCCUCUCAAGCACUGGGAUUAUGGUGUGCAUUACCACCACACAGCGAGUAUUUAACCUCUUGUUAUUGCUUUGCGGCAUACUAACCUACAAAUGUGUUGGACUGCAUGUGUAGCUAUCUCAGGACAGGUGGCUGAGGGCUGCAGGUUGAACACACCUAACCGGAUCCCUUUUGGAGUAUCUGGACAGACUAUGUGCUUUUCUUGAACUGUUACCAGUCAGCAAAGCGUGCAGAGGCUUGGAUAGAUUUCUUAGACUUUUUUCCCUGAAGCCCAAAGCCAUUUCCAUGGUUUACAAACAGAUCUGUUGAACUGAUUGCAGUUAUUACUGAGUGCUUUGUUUCUACUGAGAUAUGGAGAGGGACUCAGGAAAGAGUAAGAUAUUUUCUCCUUUUAAAGGUUUUGUGAAGGCUAGGUAUGGUGGCUGUCUCUCACCCCAGCCCUUGGGAAGAGAUAGGAGGAUCAUGAGCUCAGGGUUCAAGUAGCAAGACUUGAUCUAAAAUACACAUACACAUUUUCAGUAAGGAAAAAAAUAGCAUUUUACUGUUAAAUAAUAUGUACAGAUAUUAUAUCUACCCUUAAGCUAUUAUAAGUUAUUAUCCCUAUUUCUAGAAGUAGUGAUUUAGAGUUAGCUGACCAAAGUGUUUUGCCCAAAAUUGCACAACUCAUAAAUAGUAAGCCUUAAAUCCCUGGAGCCUUAACCCCCUGUCUUUUAAGUUAAACACCUCCCUGGCGUCAGGGAGCUAGUUGCACCUUUGAGUUCAGCUGUCGUGUAAGGAUGCUGACUCUGGCAUACUCCAGCUCUUGGUUGCCCUCCCUUCCUUCAGAUCAUGGAAAGUCCUUACCAGCCACUCUCCCACCAAAUAGCCUGAUUUAAUUUAGGUGCAGGGUGAGCAUCACAAGUUGAGGUAGAAAUAAAGAUGCCAUGGUCCUGUGUGUUUGGCACGCCUCUUGAGAGCCCAGGCUGAGAAAGGAGUACUCAGAAGAGAUGCAGUAAUUCCCACAUUCUUACAACACUCUCCACAUUUGUAUGCAUUCAAAUGUCUCCCAGGCGUAUCCUCUUUUCUCCAUUUCCUGCCCCUCCACUCAUACUCACUGUGACGUUAGCACACAGGAAGACUGCUGUGGCCUCUGAACUGUGCACCUAGAUGUUUUCUGGCCUCCUCCUGUACCAGUCUGUAUAGAGAGCCGAAGUAAACAUUUAAAAACACAGUGUGACUCAGGAUGCAGAGGCAUACAGGUAUCUGUGAAUUGAAGGCUGCCUUGGUCUAUAUGAUGGGUUCCAGGACAGACAAGGCUACAUAAUGAAGAGAUCCUGUCUCAAAAAUAGAUGAUGGAUAGAUGGAUAGAUGAGAGAGAGAGAAAGAGAGUAAGAGAGAGAAGAUGGAAGAUAGAUAGAUAGAUAUAGAUGAUGGAUAGAUGAUUGAUAAGAUAGAUGAUAGAUGGAUAGAUGAUUGAUAGAUGAUAGAUGGAUGGAUGGAUAGAUAGAUAGAUAGAUAGAUAGAUAGAUAGAUAGAUGGUUAGAUAAUAGAGACAGACAGACAAGCAAUAACAAACACCUACAACUGUGUCAAUCUAUAGUCUUGCUAGUCAUCUUCUCUAGUGCUCAUCUGGUCUUGGACAGAAGCCAGUCCUUUCUUUCAUGGAAACCAUGUAGCUCCUGACGUCCCACCCCCUUUGCUUCGGUCAGGCUGGCAGUCCAGGGUCCCUCAGACUCUCUGCCCUCAUUCAAGCCUGUUCCUCAGACACACACUUCCUUCUACAUGGAAAAUUCCAACCUCAGCUUAGGAACUUCCUUCCUCAUGGAGCAUCUCUUAACCUCUCUGUCAGGUCAGACCUUACGUGUAAGAGUCUCUUGGUGCUGUAUUGGGCAGCUUUUCAUUUUCUCAUGUGACUGAGCACUUCUUUGCGUCACUGCACCCAAGGGAGAGCAAGGCUCAAGUUUGGUUUGCACAUUACUUCUCAUAGGGCUUUUUUGUGAGUAGCAAUUACUUCUUCUCCCUGAGCUAACCCUUGACUUAGCCCUCUUAGUCUAGUCACCCAUACUGAGAAGGAAGUUUCAGAACCCUAAGAAAAACACCAGCCAACCCUUUCUAGUGUCUUGGUGUUUAAGAACUCAGUGUGAGCAGCCCGGCUGCUGUGUGGAGAUUAAAGUGGCUGCUCCGGCCUAGUGUUACUCUGAUGCCUUCGCUGGACAAAAAUCCCCAACAUGAUUUGAGGAAACCUAGUUUAGUUCUGUUUCUGUCUGUGGUCAUAUUACUUCGAGCCUGUAAUGAAGUAGAACACAGAGAAGGUAGCAGGGGCAGACAGACACACAGACAAACACAGACAGAGACCCACUUCCAAUCAGGCCUCCCCUCCUAAUGGCCUAUUAAUUUAUGGGUGAAGUUAGUAUCCUUAUGAUCCAGUCACCUCUAAAUACCACGCCAGCUGAAGACAGAGCCCCAACUCGUGGGUGGGGCUUUGGAGGACUUUUCAAAUUCAAACGCAACACUUAGGGUAUACUUACUGCCAGGGUCCCAGUGCAGCGAGUUAUUACUUCCUGCUGAUCCUACCUCGAAGAGAAUUGUGAACUGGCUCCCUAUUCGUUCCCU
rnacentral:lncRNA from 1 species